AGUUUGAUCCUGGCUCAGAACGAACGCUGGCGGCAUGCCUAAUACAUGCAAGUCGAACGAGAUCUUCGGAUCUAGUGGCGCACGGGUGCGUAACGCGUGGGAAUCUACCCUUGGGUUCGGAAUAACUUCGGGAAACUGAAGCUAAUACCGGAUGAUGUCGAAAGACCAAAGAUUUAUCGCCCAGGGAUGAGCCCGCGUAGGAUUAGCUAGUUGGUGGGGUAAAGGCUCACCAAGGCAACGAUCCUUAGCUGGUCUGAGAGGAUGAUCAGCCACACUGGGACUGAGACACGGCCCAGACUCCUACGGGAGGCAGCAGUAGGGAAUAUUGGACAAUGGGCGCAAGCCUGAUCCAGCAAUGCCGCGUGAGUGAUGAAGGCCUUAGGGUUGUAAAGCUCUUUUACCCGAGAUGAUAAUGACAGUAUCGGGAGAAUAAGCUCCGGCUAACUCCGUGCCAGCAGCCGCGGUAAUACGGAGGGAGCUAGCGUUGUUCGGAAUUACUGGGCGUAAAGCGCACGUAGGCGGCGAUUUAAGUCAGAGGUGAAAGCCCGGGGCUCAACCCCGGAACUGCCUUUGAGACUGGAUUGCUAGAAUCUUGGAGAGGCGAGUGGAAUUCCGAGUGUAG
rnacentral:rRNA from 1 species